GCAGGCAUGGUCUAGUGGUUAUGACGUCUGCUUAACACGCAGAAGGUCCCGAGUUCGAGCCUCGGUGCUUGUA